rnacentral:rRNA from 1 species
AAGAGACAGCAGUAGCCGCGGUAAUACGUAGGGCGCAAGCGUUAUCCGGAAUUAUUGGGCGUAAAGAGCUCGUAGGCGGUUUGUCGCGUCUGCCGUGAAAGUCCGGGGCUCAACCCCGGAUCUGCGGUGGGUACGGGCAGACUAGAGUGAUGUAGGGGAGACUGGAAUUCCUGGUGUAGCGGUGGAAUGCGCAGAUAUCAGGAGGAACACCGAUGGCGAAGGCAGGUCUCUGGGCAUUAACUGACGCUGAGGAGCGAAAGCAUGGGGAGCGAACAGGAUUAGAUACCCGCGUAGUCCCUGUCUCUUAUAC